rnacentral:rRNA from 1 species
AUUGAACGCUGGCGGAAUGCUUUACACAUGCAAGUCGAGCGGCAGCACGGGGGCAACCCUGGUGGCGCGCGGCGAACGGGUGAGUAAUACAUCGGAACAUGCCCAGUCGUGGGGGAUAACACCUCGAAAGAAGUGCUAAUACCGCAUACGUCCUGAGGGCGAACGCGGGGGAGCUUGGGACCUCGCGCGACUGGCGUGGCCGAUGUCGUAUUAGCUAGUUGGUGGGGUAAAGGCCUACCAAGGCAACGAUCUGUAGCUGGUCUGAGAGGAUGAUCAGCCACACUGGGACUGCGACACGGCCCAGACUCCUACGGGAGGCAGCAGUGGGGAAUUUUGGACAAUGGGGGCAACCCUGAUCCAGCCAUUCCGCGUGAGUGAAGAAGGCCUUCGGGUUGUAAAGCUCUUUCGGCAGGAACGAAACGGCGAGCUCUAACAUAGCUUGCUAAUGACGGUACCUGAAGAAGAAGCACCGGCUAACUACGUGCCAGCCGCCGCAGUAACAC